UACGAAGGGGGCUAGCGUUGCUCGGAAUCACUGGGCGUAAAGGGUGCGUAGGCGGGUCUUUAAGUCAGGGGUGAAAUCCUGGAGCUCAACUCCAGAACUGCCUUUGAUACUGAGGAUCUUGAGUUCGGGAGAGGUGAGUGGAACUGCGAGUGUAGAGGUGAAAUUCGUAGAUAUUCGCAAGAACACCAGUGGCGAAGGCGGCUCACUGGACCGAUACUGACGCUGAGGCGCGAAAGCGUGGGGAGCAAACAGG
rnacentral:rRNA from 1 species